rnacentral:rRNA from 1 species
UACGUAGGGUGCGAGCGUUAAUCGGAAUUACUGGGCGUAAAGCGUGCGCAGGCGGUUUGUUAAGUCAGAUGUGAAAUCCCCGGGCUUAACCUGGGAACUGCAUUUGUGACUGGCAAGCUAGAGUAUGGCAGAGGGGGGUAGAAUUCCACGUGUAGCAGUGAAAUGCGUAGAGAUGUGGAGGAAUACCGAUGGCGAAGGCAGCCCCCUGGGCCAAUACUGACGCUCAUGCACGAAAGCGUGGGGAGCAAACAGG